CCCGGUCGCACGCUCCUUCCCUGCCGGGAGCAGGGCUCCGAGGGUGCCUCCGCCUCCUGCCCGCCGGCUCUGCCCGUGUGCGCGCGUGUGGGAGGGCGUGUGUCUGUGCCUUCGUCGCCGCCGCCGCCACUGCCUCCUGUCGCUGAGGCUGGCAUCGCUGAGCCCCCGCGCGGGGGGCUGCCGCCCGAGCGCUGAUUGACAGGCUGCCUCGCCAAUGCCUGGAGGGAGAAAGGAGCAAUAAGUGGAAGUGGAGAUGGAGAAGAUGGAGGGACAGAAAGUGAGGAGGGCUGACAGUGGCCUCCAAGUGGAACCAAGCAAAGCCACCCCUGGUUUGUGGGCUCCUGCUUUCUCCCCUGCACAUCAGCCUGGCAAAUGAAGAAAUACGUUGAGAUGGAGAAACCCAAGACUGAAGCCUGGACUGGUGAGCUGCUACAUGGCGGACAAGAGUCCCCAAGAGUGACCUGCAACGACUUAGCGUGAACAAAAACUAAGCUGUUAUGGUAAUGCCUGGAGGUUUUUGGUGAUGCUUAUUACCACAGCCUUACCUACCCUAUCCUUACAUACUAGUGAGUGGAUACAUAUACAGGCACACAGAAGUCAAGAAGAAUAAACAAAAU